rnacentral:rRNA from 1 species
UGGGGAAUAUUGCACAAUGGGCGCAAGCCUGAUGCAGCGACGCCGCGUGCGGGAUGGAGGCCUUCGGGUUGUAAACCGCUUUUAUAGGGGGGCAAGCUAUGCCUGUGUGGUGUGGUGAGUGGACUUUAUGAAUAAGCACCGGCUAACUACGUGCCAGCAGCCGCGGUAAUACGUAGGGUGCAAGCGUUGUCCGGAUUUAUUGGGCGUAAAGGGCUCGUAGGCGGUUUGUUGCGUCUGGUGUGAAAGCUUACUGCUUAACGGUAGGUUGCGCUGGAUACGGGCAGGCUUGAGUGCAGUAGGGGAGACUGGAAUUCUCGGUGUAACGGUGGAAUGUGUAGAUAUCGGGAAGAACACCUAUGGCGAAGGCAGGUCUCUGGGCUGUUACUGACGCUGAGGAGCGAAAGCGUGGGGAGCGAACAGGAUUAGAUACCCUGGUAGUCCAUGCUGUAAACGGUGGACGCUGGAUGUGGGGCCCAUUUCCACGGGUUCUGUGUCGGAGCUAACGCGUUAAGCGUCCCGCCUGGGGAGUACGGCCGCAAGGUUA